rnacentral:lncRNA from 1 species
UUUGUAUGAUUCCCAGGGCAGCAAUUAGGAUAUUUCAAUGAAAGUAUUUACAAUUGUUAUUAUUUUCUUAUUUUUGAUUGAUAGCAUUCAUGCUUGUGUAUAAUUUCGAUCUGACUAGUUGUUUUGUCGUGUCCUACUGACCCUUGAAGUCAGGCCACGCUGUAUUUGCUGAUUUGAGCUUACGUGACUCUCGGGAGAAGUGUCUUAAUUGUUUCACCUGUGCCGAGCAGGCGUGCUGAAGCUGCUUAUUAUUUGUGAAUAACUUUAACUACUUACACAAUAGCUGAUUUCCUAGAGGAAGUUUAGCACUCCGUGUUACACAAAGGACACUCAGAUAUGCAACCAGAGCAGUGAGCACGGCACUAGGCUGCUAAGCCGCUACAGUCAAGAACCGGAGGACCAGGCUCCACCUCCAGCUGAAGUCAAAGAAGUCUGCAGGCGUUAGUUGCACUCCUAUGGUUGUGCUGACACAGCCUACUCUGAGUAGUAGAGCCACAAGCAGACCAUUCCACUGGAUGGUUUGUCUGCCACCCAUAGUAUCCUCUGAGUGUAUCAUUCCUUGUUAUGUUUAAUUGGGUUUGCAACCUACUUAUAGCUGUGGAGUGUUAAUGAUGGCUCAUGGUAUCAAAAGACAGAGCAAACUGACUGUGGUAAAUAGUCACCCAAAAGGACAAAGUCAUUCGUCUGCAGGAGAACCCAUGUGCCUCUAGGGCUGCCCUUUCCAAGCCUUCCUCCCACCUGUGUUCUCCUCCAUCCAUGAAUAUGGUCUUUUACUUGCUUUGGUCUUUUAUUUUUGAAGCCCUAGCAGUGAUAGUUUCUAGAUGCUCCUACCAUGAUAUACCAUGCUUUCUUCAUACCUAGAUAGAUUUGGAAGGACCAUGUCCGUUUCUCUCCCGUCCUCUCUAUUUUCCGUUCUGCCUCCCAGAGUGACUUUACCCUUUGACCUCCUUUUUGAUGCAUAUGCCAGGCAGAAACUUCCUAUAAAGUAUCCCCUCACUCCAAUGCCCUCCCAAACAUACGUGUGCCAUGAUUAUACAUGCAGGCGCUGUUUAUUUGGGGGGGCGGAGGGGGGAACCAGCAUGAUGUUGCAUACAUUAUGCUCAGAAAACUAUUUUUAACUUAGGUUAGUUUUUCUCAGCUAUGUUAUUAAGCAUUCAGCAUUCAGCGGUGGAAGUACACCACAGUUUAUACACAUUUCCCAUGCUGACGGGCAUUCCCACACUGUCUACUAUGUGUGGUCACCGUCCUUCUAUGUAGCGCUCCUCCCAAAAGUGCUGAUCCUCGUCUGAGGAGUCCCGACCUUUUGAUUUAUGGCAGAAGCCUGCACACUAUGUCACUUUAUUACAGGCUGCACCAGGGUUCUCCCUUUCAGAUAGAAAGAGCGAGGGAGCAAAACCCUUUGAUCUUCACUGAAGAGAUUCUAAAAAUAUCCUGAGAUACCACUGUGGCUGGGUCUGGGUGAGUCAUGGAGCAUCUAUGAUGCUCAGUAUCAAAGGAUAGUCAGACUCCCUCAGUCUCGAUAUAAUCUGUUCUUCAUUGUAGUGAGCGGAUCCCAGCCUCCAUAAGGCUGGAGUGAGGGCCUAUUUGGAAUGAAAACGCCCAGCAGUGUAUAUAGUUUCGGAUGAAAACUCAAAUGUUAUGUUCAGCGUAUGUUUGGCUUACCUAACCUGUUUCUCGAGAUGAGCUGAUGCAUCAUUCACAUAGGUAAUAAAAGUCUAAUCAUUGGACCCAAGCCUGGGCCUCUUCCAAGAGCCGCCUGGAGAAGCUGAGUCUUGUCGUUGCUGGUCAUGUGCCCUGGGUGGCCGUGUUUUAGUAAUAGCCGGAAUCACUGGCACAAGUUGUUCUACAUGCUUGUCUUGAAAGGAUGCUGUCAGGUCGUAUUUUAAUAACAGCUUCUUGCAUAGAUGUGACUAAAUGACCAGUUGCCUAUUUAAUUCAUUUUAGACACAUUCAGAAUUCUUUCUGCUAGCCUCCUUUGUGUAACUAGUCAUGUUAUUGGUAGAGCUCCGGAGGUUGUUGCAGCUGACAGUUCAGUUCUGAGACUGUAACACAUCUAAGCAUUUAGGGAUGUCAGAAAGUAUCCAUUCCAAGAACAGACGUUGCCAUUGUUUGUUAAAGUCUCAAUGUUUCUAGACCUGUGUCUUCUGAGAACCUAUCAGAUGGCCUGUCCCUAAAACAUGACUC